rnacentral:rRNA from 2 species
AGCGUACACGGUGGAUGCCCUGGCAGUCAGAGGCGAUGAAGGACGUGCUAAUCUGCGAUAAGCGUCGGUAAGGUGAUAUGAACCGUUAUAACCGGCGAUUUCCGAAUGGGGAAACCCAGUGUGAUUCGUCACACUAUCAUUAACUGAAUCCAUAGGUUAAUGAGGCGAACCGGGGGAACUGAAACAUCUAAGUACCCCGAGGAAAAGAAAUCAACCGAGAUUCCCCCAGUAGCGGCGAGCGAACGGGGAGCAGCCCAGAGCCUGAAUCAGUGUGUGUGUUAGUGGAAGCGUCUGGAAAGGCGCGCGAUACAGGGUGACAGCCCCGUACACAAAAAUGCACAUGCUGUGAGCUCGAUGAGUAGGGCGGGACACGUGGUAUCCUGUCUGAAUAUGGGGGGACCAUCCUCCAAGGCUAAAUACUCCUGACUGACCGAUAGUGAACCAGUACCGUGAGGGAAAGGCGAAAAGAACCCCGGCGAGGGGAGUGAAAAAGAACCUGAAACCGUGUACGUACAAGCAGUGGGAGCCUCUUUAUGGGGUGACUGCGUACCUUUUGUAUAAUGGGUCAGCGACUUAUAUUCUGUAGCAAGGUUAACCGAAUAGGGGAGCCGAAGGGAAACCGAGUCUUAACUGGGCGUUAAGUUGCAGGGUAUAGACCCGAAACCCGGUGAUCUAGCCAUGGGCAGGUUGAAGGUUGGGUAACACUAACUGGAGGACCGAACCGACUAAUGUUGAAAAAUUAGCGGAUGACUUGUGGCUGGGGGUGAAAGGCCAAUCAAACCGGGAGAUAGCUGGUUCUCCCCGAAAGCUAUUUAGGUAGCGCCUCGUGAAUUCAUCUCCGGGGGUAGAGCACUGUUUCGGCAAGGGGGUCAUCCCGACUUACCAACCCGAUGCAAACUGCGAAUACCGGAGAAUGUUAUCACGGGAGACACACGGCGGGUGCUAACGUCCGUCGUGAAGAGGGAAACAACCCAGACCGCCAGCUAAGGUCCCAAAGUCAUGGUUAAGUGGGAAACGAUGUGGGAAGGCCCAGACAGCCAGGAUGUUGGCUUAGAAGCAGCCAUCAUUUAAAGAAAGCGUAAUAGCUCACUGGUCGAGUCGGCCUGCGCGGAAGAUGUAACGGGGCUAAACCAUGCACCGAAGCUGCGGCAGCGACGCUUAUGCGUUGUUGGGUAGGGGAGCGUUCUGUAAGCCUGCGAAGGUGUACUGUGAGGUAUGCUGGAGGUAUCAGAAGUGCGAAUGCUGACAUAAGUAACGAUAAAGCGGGUGAAAAGCCCGCUCGCCGGAAGACCAAGGGUUCCUGUCCAACGUUAAUCGGGGCAGGGUGAGUCGACCCCUAAGGCGAGGCCGAAAGGCGUAGUCGAUGGGAAACAGGUUAAUAUUCCUGUACUUGGUGUUACUGCGAAGGGGGGACGGAGAAGGCUAUGUUGGCCGGGCGACGGUUGUCCCGGUUUAAGCGUGUAGGCUGGUUUUCCAGGCAAAUCCGGAAAAUCAAGGCUGAGGCGUGAUGACGAGGCACUACGGUGCUGAAGCAACAAAUGCCCUGCUUCCAGGAAAAGCCUCUAAGCAUCAGGUAACAUCAAAUCGUACCCCAAACCGACACAGGUGGUCAGGUAGAGAAUACCAAGGCGCUUGAGAGAACUCGGGUGAAGGAACUAGGCAAAAUGGUGCCGUAACUUCGGGAGAAGGCACGCUGAUAUGUAGGUGAAGCGACUUGCUCGUGGAGCUGAAAUCAGUCGAAGAUACCAGCUGGCUGCAACUGUUUAUUAAAAACACAGCACUGUGCAAACACGAAAGUGGACGUAUACGGUGUGACGCCUGCCCGGUGCCGGAAGGUUAAUUGAUGGGGUUAGCGGUAACGCGAAGCUCUUGAUCGAAGCCCCGGUAAACGGCGGCCGUAACUAUAACGGUCCUAAGGUAGCGAAAUUCCUUGUCGGGUAAGUUCCGACCUGCACGAAUGGCGUAAUGAUGGCCAGGCUGUCUCCACCCGAGACUCAGUGAAAUUGAACUCGCUGUGAAGAUGCAGUGUACCCGCGGCAAGACGGAAAGACCCCGUGAACCUUUACUAUAGCUUGACACUGAACAUUGAGCCUUGAUGUGUAGGAUAGGUGGGAGGCUUUGAAGUGUGGACGCCAGUCUGCAUGGAGCCGACCUUGAAAUACCACCCUUUAAUGUUUGAUGUUCUAACGUUGGCCCCUAAUCGGGGUUGCGGACAGUGUCUGGUGGGUAGUUUGACUGGGGCGGUCUCCUCCUAAAGAGUAACGGAGGAGCACGAAGGUUGGCUAAUCCUGGUCGGACAUCAGGAGGUUAGUGCAAUGGCAUAAGCCAGCUUGACUGCGAGCGUGACGGCGCGAGCAGGUGCGAAAGCAGGUCAUAGUGAUCCGGUGGUUCUGAAUGGAAGGGCCAUCGCUCAACGGAUAAAAGGUACUCCGGGGAUAACAGGCUGAUACCGCCCAAGAGUUCAUAUCGACGGCGGUGUUUGGCACCUCGAUGUCGGCUCAUCACAUCCUGGGGCUGAAGUAGGUCCCAAGGGUAUGGCUGUUCGCCAUUUAAAGUGGUACGCGAGCUGGGUUUAGAACGUCGUGAGACAGUUCGGUCCCUAUCUGCCGUGGGCGCUGGAGAACUGAGGGGGGCUGCUCCUAGUACGAGAGGACCGGAGUGGACGCAUCACUGGUGUUCGGGUUGUCAUGCCAAUGGCACUGCCCGGUAGCUAAAUGCGGAAGAGAUAAGUGCUGAAAGCAUCUAAGCACGAAACUUGCCCCGAGAUGAGUUCU